rnacentral:pre_miRNA from 1 species
UACAGUGACCAGGUUAUGACGGAGUCAUAUCUCGAUUCGCCCAUCGUGGUCUGGUCACCCUGCC